ensembl:lncRNA
AUGGACUUGAUGAAACUCCCUCAACGUCAACCUCUGGGGCCAAAGCCAAGCCAUCAAAACCUGUGGUCAAACAUCCUGUUCCUCUUGUGUCCUCCAGUCUCUCUCGACUCAAGAGGAGGAUGUGAGAGCAGGACCCCACCUGUGCUGCUGCAACGCUGCUUGUGUAACAGAGGAUUCAUUCUACUCCUUCAACAAGAUGAUCUGUACUUCCAUGCCCUAUUUUAUCAGGAGCUCCAUGAGACGAGUUCCGGAGGUCAUGAACAAGAUGGACAAGAGGAAACAUGAGAAAUUUUCUAAUCAAUUUAACUAUGCAGUGAAUUGAAGGAUACAGCUGUACUGCCACACACCAGUUUGGAUUUUAUGCAGAACAAAAGCGCAUUGUUAAUACUGUACCUCAAAUGAACUGUAAUCUUUGUAUUGUCAAUGUUGGAUUGUCAUUUGUAAUGCCUAAAUAAUUUUAUUAAUUUUUUUUUUUUUUUUUUAAAAAAAAAAAAAAAGUUAGACUUAGUCAUUUUAAAUCUUAAUUUAAAAUGGAAUUUUAUUCAAUUUUGUAUUUUCAACAUUGCAUUUUCCAAACUUUUGUCUUUGCUUCACUGAGGUAGACCUAUUUGUGAUCCAGAGUUUUAAAUAUAACAGUACUUUUAAAGAAAUAUAUUGUCAGUGUAAGUCUUAUGCGACUGUUAAUAUAGAGUACAUUUCUAUAGACAUGAGUUUGCCUUUGUUAAUUUAAGGGCUUUCUUUGUUGUGAAGAUUAAAAAUGCACAACCACCACAGCAACAUAUGAAGGCAUAGGCAAGGCAGGAUUUUUUAUUUAUUUAUUUAUUUUGCAUUUCAAGGCUUUUACAUAAAAUUUAAUUUAUUAAUGUUUGCAUGUCCUUUAAGUAACAUAGUCUCACGACAUACUUGCAGUUUACCUUAAUCGAUUAGAUCUUACACAUAUUUUUAUUCAUGUAUUUUUUUUUUGUAGCAAUUAUAUUAAAAACAGCUUUUCAUUACAACAAAUGAAGAAUGGCUUACAAUUUUAAAUGAGGCUAGCUAAGUUAACUUGACUGUAUAUUGCAGAAAACUAUGGCAUUGCUAAAAAGGAAGCAAUGCUUUUGAACCAGCCUAAAGCUGUUAAUUGGAAAAGUGAUUUUACUGUUACAGAAUUAGUGUAAAUUGACAUUGGUGUAGCUCGUGUGGUCUUGUUCCACCAAAUAAAUAAAUGAAUGAAAUAAAAUUUAUAUAUAUA